rnacentral:rRNA from 1 species
CAGCCGCCGCGGGAAAACGGAGGAUCCGAGCGUUAUCCGGAAUUAUUGGGUUUAAAGGGUGCGUAGGCGGACAGAUAAGUCAGUGGUGAAAGACGGUGGCUCAACCAUCGCAGUGCCGUUGAUACUGUUUGUCUUGAAUAUGGAUGAGGUAGGCGGAAUGUGGCAAGUAGCGGUGAAAUGCAUAGAUAUGCCACAGAACACCGAUUGCGAAGGCAGCUUACCAAGGCAAUAUUGACGCUGAGGCACGAAAGCGUGGGGAUCGAACAGGAUUAGAUACCCCUGUAGUCCCUGUCUCUUAUAC